rnacentral:rRNA from 1 species
UACGGAGGGAGCUAGCGUUGUUCGGAAUUACUGGGCGUAAAGCGCACGUAGGCGGCUUUGUAAGUUAGAGGUGAAAGCCCGGGGCUCAACCCCGGAAUAGCCUUUAAGACUGCAUCGCUUGAACGUCGGAGAGGUGAGUGGAAUUCCGAGUGUAGAGGUGAAAUUCGUAGAUAUUCGGAAGAACACCAGUGGCGAAGGCGGCUCACUGGACGACUGUUGACGCUGAGGUGCGAAAGCGUGGGGAGCAAACAGG